GACGCACGCUGGCGGCGUGCCUAAUACAUGCAAGUAGGACGCAGUUGCGAACGGGUGAGUAACGCGUAGGUAACUACCUAUUAGAGGGGGAUAACUAUUGGAAACGAUAGCUAAUACCGCAUACUAGUAGAUGGACCUGCGUUGUAUUAGCUAGUAGGUAGGGUAAUGGCCUACCUAGGCAACGAUACAUAGCCGACCUGGAGGGGUGACCGGCCACACGUGAACUGAGACAAGGCCCCGGCUCCUACGGGAGGCAGUAGUUGGGAAUCUUCCGCAAUGGGUGAAACCCAGACCGAGCGACGCCGCGUGGGUUAUGAAGGUCUUCGGUUCUUAAAACUCUGUUAUUAGGGAAGCGGUACAUAAUCAGAAAGCCACGGCUAACGACGUGCCAGCAGCCGCGGUAAUAC
rnacentral:rRNA from 1 species